GUCAACCCACUGAAACCAGAAUGGCUGAGAGCAGAGUGUCCCUGCAUAGCCCUUCUCCCGAGGAGUGAGGACACCAGCUAGGUGGGAGAUCAGAGUGCAAGAUGGAAAUCCAGCUCCCGUCUCUGCUGAAAUAUGAAUUCUAAAAUUCUAAAAAAAACAGGACAAAAUCACUGGCCUGGAGCACAUCACUAAACAGAAAAUUAAUUACAGUUGUCUGCUGGGUGUAGAAUGCUUGUCAAUGGGACUGAAUCCAGUAGUCCCCAUAGAUCUCCAGGCCACUGGACACAGGUAAAUGAUGCACUUCAGCUUAUUGUUCGUAUUUGGUUCAGUAUGCAGGUAGCUAAGUUUUCAAAGAAGCCAUCCUCAUGAGGGUAAACCUGUUUUCACUCAAGGAUAUCAAAUGUAAGUCACUACAGGUGACCCCAGCGUUUGUAUGUUUAAAUGGCAGUAUAUUUAAGUGGUUCAGUCAUUUUUAAGAGUUAGGAUAAAUACUCAAUAGUAUUUUAAUUCUGGCUCAAAUAUUUAGCUUUUCUCUCCUCUUCUAAUUACACAGUAAGUGUAAGGAAACUAUUGGGCCAGAAUUAAGUAUAAACACACAUUCUAAUAAUCAUAUGCCUUCUCUAUGUCGAGGUCAUGAAGGACUGAAAAUAAUAUUGCAUUAUUUUAAAUACACUUCAACAGCUUAUUUCAGGAAAAAAAGAACAAGCAGUAUUUACUUAGGACAGAGAACUCAGAAAAAAAAUAGUUGAAAUAAAUCAUUCACAAAAGUGUGUAUGAACUACAAUGGACCAGCAGCAGACUACCUUGAUUUAAAAGAAGAACAAAUCGUCUAUUUUAAGCAACUGCCUAUGGCCUAGUCCACUACAUGACAUACAAAGAGAAUACAUAGACAGAGGAAGUUAUGAUUUAUGUGUGCUUCAAAUAGCAAGUAAAUGCUACCUGUUGGCCAAAUAAAUAGGUGUGGAUUCCUUAAGAGUCUGGAAAAAAAAAGGGAUCAAUUUACCAUGGAAAGGCAUGUAUAGAAACAGAAAAGGCACAUGUAGCCUUGUCUGACACACAUUCAUUCCAGCUAUUCUAAAUAUUCCCAAAACACAACAGGAAACAUGCAGUUUAAUACUGAUAAUUUUUGUUCAUAGAAACAAUGAAAGCUGCAUUUGAAGGUAUUACAUUUUCAAGAGAGAAGGGGAAGAUAUGGGUUCAA